AGAUGGACACAGCAGCAGCACAUAAGAGCACACGCGUGGGGCUCCAGCCCGGCCACGGGGAGACCUUUUCUCAGCAAAGGGCAGCACUGCUCGCUUUGCUGGGGCAGCCCUCCCAGGAAGAUCCCAGAAGAGAUGGUCUGAGGUGUGUGAACACUGUGAAUGUCAUGGACAAAGCUCAGCGUGGGACCCCAUGGGACUUCAGGCCCUGAAAGCAGCAGAUCUCACCUGCAUUGGAGGAUGAGACGCCACAUGAAGAAGAAAGAAGACGCCACAGACAGCAGCGCAGUACCACCUUCCAGAGAUGUGAGUGUGACCGUCUUUGACCUUCUAGCCCAGCUGCUUUCCCUGAAUGCAAUGCAUGAGCAGGCCAGGCAAAACUAGAGAGGGAAGCUGCCCAGCUAACCCACAGAAUUAUGAGAGAUAAAAAAUCAUUGUCUUAAGCCACUAAGUCUGUUAUGCAGCAAUAUAUAGCAUUCAUUCAACUUUUGUCUCAUGAAUACUCUCAUUUCUUUUAUAAGUUCUUUUGUGGUUCAAAUUAGCUCAAAUCAGUUUCUGAUGCUUAUGAC
rnacentral:lncRNA from 1 species